AACCGGAUUAGAUACCCUGGUAGUCCACGCCCUAAACGAUGUCUACUAGUUGUCGGGUCUUAAUUGACUUGGUAACGCAGCUAACGCGUGAAGUAGACCGCCUGGGGAGUACGGUCGCAAGAUUAAAACUCAAAGGAAUUGACGGGGACCCGCACAAGCGGUGGAUGAUGUGGAUUAAUUCGAUGCAACGCGAAAAACCUUACCUACCCUUGACAUGGCUGGAAUCCUCGAGAGAUUGAGGAGUGCUCGAAAGAGAACCAGUACACAGGUGCUGCAUGGCUGUCGUCAGCUCGUGUCGUGAGAUGUUGGGUUAAGUCCCGCAACGAGCGCAACCCUUGUCAUUAGUUGCUACGAAAGGGCACUCUAAUGAGACUGCCGGUGACAAACCGGAGGAAGGUGGGGAUGACGUCAAGUCCUCAUGGCCCUUAUGGGUAGGGCUUCACACGUCAUACAAUGGUACAUACAGAGCGCCGCCAACCCGCGAGGGGGAGCUAAUCGCAGAAAGUGUAUCGUAGUCCGGAUUGUAGUCUGCAACUCGACUGCAUGAAGUUGGAAUCGCUAGUAAUCGCGGAUCAGCAUGUCGCGGUGAAUACGUUCCCGGGUCUUGUACACACCGCCCGUCACACCAUGGGGAGC
rnacentral:rRNA from 1 species